GAUUCUGUAGUGUAGUGGUUAUCACGUGCGCCUCACACGCGCAAGGUCCCCGGUUCAAACCCGGGCAGAAUCA
rnacentral:tRNA from 1 species